ACGAUAUGCUUUGGGGAGCUGUAAGUAAGCUUUGAUCCAGAGAUUUCCGAAUGGGGAAACCCAGCAUGAGUUAUGUCAUGUUAUCGAUAUGUGAAUACAUAGCAUAUCAGAAGGCACACCCGGAGAACUGAAACAUCUUAGUACCCGGAGGAAGAGAAAGAAAAUUCGAUUCCCUUAGUAGCGGCGAGCGAAACGGGAAGAGCCCAAACCAACAAGCUUGCUUGUUGGGGUUGUAGGACACUCUAUACGGAGUUACAAAGGACGACAUUAGACGAAUCAUCUGGAAAGAUGAAUCAAAGAAGGUAAUAAUCCUGUAGUCGAAAAUGUUGUCUCUCUUGAGUGGAUCCUGAGUACGACGGAGCACGUGAAAUUCCGUCGGAAUCUGGGAGGACCAUCUCCUAAGGCUAAAUACUCUCUAGUGACCGAUAGUGAACCAGUACCGUGAGGGAAAGGUGAAAAGCACCCCGGAAGGGGAGUGAAAUAGAACCUGAAACCGUGUGCUUACAAGUAGUCAGAGCCCGUUAAUGGGUGAUGGCGUGCCUUUUGUAGAAUGAACCGGCGAGUUACGAUUUGAUGCAAGGUUAAGCAGUAAAUGUGGAGCCGUAGCGAAAGCGAGUCUGAAUAGGGCGUUUAGUAUUUGGUCGUAGACCCGAAACCAGGUGAUCUACCCUUGGUCAGGUUGAAGUUCAGGUAACACUGAAUGGAGGACCGAACCGACUUACGUUGAAAAGUGAGCGGAUGAACUGAGGGUAGCGGAGAAAUUCCAAUCGAACCUGGAGAUAGCUGGUUCUCUCCGAAAUAGCUUUAGGGCUAGCCUCAAGUGAUGAUUAUUGGAGGUAGAGCACUGUUUGGACGAGGGGCCCCUCUCGGGUUACCGAAUUCAGACAAACUCCGAAUGCCAAUUAAUUUAACUUGGGAGUCAGAACAUGGGUGAUAAGGUCCGUGUUCGAAAGGGAAACAGCCCAGACCACCAGCUAAGGUCCCAAAAUAUAUGUUAAGUGGAAAAGGAUGUGGCGUUGCCCAGACAACUAGGAUGUUGGCUUAGAAGCAGCCAUCAUUUAAAGAGUGCGUAAUAGCUCACUAGUCGAGUGACACUGCGCCGAAAAUGUACCGGGGCUAAACAUAUUACCGAAGCUGUGGAUUGUCCUUUGGACAAUGGUAGGAGAGCGUUCUAAGGGCGUUGAAGCAUGAUCGUAAGGACAUGUGGAGCGCUUAGAAGUGAGAAUGCCGGUGUGAGUAGCGAAAGACGGGUGAGAAUCCCGUCCACCGAUUGACUAAGGUUUCCAGAGGAAGGCUCGUCCGCUCUGGGUUAGUCGGGUCCUAAGCUGAGGCCGACAGGCGUAGGCGAUGGAUAACAGGUUGAUAUUCCUGUACCACCUAUAAUCGUUUUAAUCGAUGGGGGGACGCAGUAGGAUAGGCGAAGCGUGCGAUUGGAUUGCACGUCUAAGCAGUAAGGCUGAGUAUUAGGCAAAUCCGGUACUCGUUAAGGCUGAGCUGUGAUGGGGAGAAGACAUUGUGUCUUCGAGUCGUUGAUUUCACACUGCCGAGAAAAGCCUCUAGAUAGAAAAUAGGUGCCCGUACCGCAAACCGACACAGGUAGUCAAGAUGAGAAUUCUAAGGUGAGCGAGCGAACUCUCGUUAAGGAACUCGGCAAAAUGACCCCGUAACUUCGGGAGAAGGGGUGCUCUUUAGGGUUAACGCCCAGAAGAGCCGCAGUGAAUAGGCCCAAGCGACUGUUUAUCAAAAACACAGGUCUCUGCUAAACCGUAAGGUGAUGUAUAGGGGCUGACGCCUGCCCGGUGCUGGAAGGUUAAGAGGAGUGGUUAGCUUCUGCGAAGCUACGAAUCGAAGCCCCAGUAAACGGCGGCCGUAAC
rnacentral:rRNA from 1 species